CUACUUUCUAGUGCAACGUUCUCUUUUAAUUUGACUCCAAAAAUACACACACAUACAUAUAUAUGUAUAUGGAUAACAAAAUGAUUAUCCAGGUAAUGGGGUUGGAAUCGGUGUCUCGAAGAGCACUAGUUGCCUGCGGCAAUGACAGGAGGCUUUUUGUACCACCAGUUAGAGGAUGCAUCAAGCGCAAAAUAUUUGUCCUUCUGUAUCACAAGUUGAAGCUUCUUGGCCGGCUCUCCGUUCAUUACCUUCCUAGCAUCAGCAGCCAGCGUUAACUAGCUAUUCAUCCUCUCAUUUUUCCAAAUCAAGCAUGACUUAUCUAAUCAUAAUUUAAUCAAGAGAGUUCACAUUCAGGUUAU
rnacentral:misc_RNA from 1 species